UUUCCAAUGCUGAUUUUACCUACUAACAUAAACCCGUAGAUCCGAUCUUGUGGUGAAUUCCUUUGCUCAAGCUCGUUUCUAUGGGUCUGUGUCAUUAUGGAUCCGGAACUACAUUCUACA
rnacentral:precursor_RNA from 14 species